rnacentral:rRNA from 1 species
UGAAGCACCUUCGGGUGUGAAUUAGCGGCGAACGGGUGAGGAACACGUGAGAAAUCUGCCUUCAACACUGGGAUAACUCCGGGAAACCGGGGCUAAUACCGGAUAUGAAAUCUGCGGGCAUCCGCGGAUUUGGAAAGUUUUUCGGUUGAAGAUGAUCUCGCGGCCUAUCAGCUUGUUGGUGAGGUAAUGGCUCACCAAGGCGACGACGGGUAGCCGGCCUGAGAGGGCGACCGGCCACACUGGGACUGAGACACGGCCCAGACUCCUACGGGAGGCAGCAGUGGGGAAUAUUGGGCAAUGGAGGAAACUCUGACCCAGCGACGCCGCGUGCGGGAUGAAGGCCUUCGGGUUGUAAACCGCUUUCAGCAGGGAAGAAGCGAAAGUGACGGUACCUGCAGAAGAAGCACCGGCUAACUAUGUGCCAGCAGCCGCGGUAAUACAUAGGGUGCAAGCGUUGUCCGGAAUUAUUGGGCGUAAAGAGCUCGUAGGUGGUUCGUCACGUCGGAUGUGAAACUCUGGGGCUUAACCCCAGACCUGCAUUCGAUACGGGCGAGCUUGAGUAUGGUAGGGGAGUCUGGAAUUCCUGGUGUAGCGGUGGAAUGCGCAGAUA